GAUGAACGCUAGCGGCAGGCUUAACACAUGCAAGUCGAGGGGUAGAAGGAGCUUGCUCCUUUGAGACCGGCGCACGGGUGCGUAACGCGUAUGCAAUCUACCUUUUGCAGAGGAUAGCCCAGAGAAAUUUGGAUUAAUACCUCAUAGUAUGUGAGGAUGGCAUCAUUUUCACAUUAAAGUCACAACGGCAAAAGAUGAGCAUGCGUCCCAUUAGCUAGUUGGUAAGGUAACGGCUUACCAAGGCUACGAUGGGUAGGGUCCUGAGAGGGAGAUCCCCCACACUGGUACUGAGACACGGACCAGACUCCUACGGGAGGCAGCAGUGAGGAAUAUUGGACAAUGGGCGCAAGCCUGAUCCAGCCAUGCCGCGUGCAGGAUGACGGUCCUAUGGAUUGUAACUGCUUUGUACAGGAAGAAACACUACUUCGUGAAGUAGCUUGACGGUACUGUAAGAAUAAGGAUCGG
rnacentral:rRNA from 1 species